rnacentral:rRNA from 1 species
GAUGAACGCUGGCGGCGUGCUUAACACAUGCAAGUCGAACGAUGAAGCCCAGCUUGCUGGGUGGAUUAGUGGCGAACGGGUGAGUAACACGUGAGUAACCUGCCCUUGACUCUGGGAUAAGCCUGGGAAACUGGGUCUAAUACUGGAUAUGACUUCUCAUCGCAUGGUGGGGGGUGGAAAGAUUUAUUGGUCUUGGAUGGACUCGCGGCCUAUCAGCUUGUUGGUGAGGUAAUGGCUCACAAAGGCGACGACGGGUAGCCGGCCUGAGAGGGUGACCGGCCACACUGGGACUGAGACACGGCCCAGACUCCUACGGGAGGCAGCAGUGGGGAAUAUUGCACAAUGGGCGCAAGCCUGAUGCAGCGACGCCGCGUGAGGGAUGACGGCCUUCGGGUUGUAAACCUCUUUCAGUAGGGAAGAAGCGAGAGUGACGGCACCUGCAGAAGAAGCGCCGGCUAACUACGUG